CUACCUGGGCCAAUGCUGUGAUGGUGGCGAUUUUCUAUUAACCAUUUUGCUGGUGUUAUAUCCAGCCCAUAAUAGGGCACUGUGUGUUGCAGAAUACUGCCAGAACACAUACUCUGUGUGGUAUAACUUGGCUUGUUUCAUACCACUGAAGGUUCUCCUUCUUGGUGGGAUCUACAGAACAUGAGGAAUGAAUGAAAAAUGAAUAAAACUUGGGUUUUCAUCUAAGUUGGUAAAGCUGUAUUCAAUAAAAGAUGCUGCAGAGCAGGCACCGGUGUGCCAUUAAUUUGAAGGACAACAUGCCAAUAACCAAAGAAAACAGGAUCAAAACCAUCCUGCUACCUGGUGGCCAGAGUUCCACAGAAAUUACCAGGGGCUUCAACCAAUGAUACCCUGGAGGGAACCCAUCACAGAAAGUGUCAUCAGGAAACUGAUCAGAAAGUUUCAAGAAACAGGAUCAAUGGCAGAUAAGUCCCAUGCCAGCUGUGCCCCUACAGCAACCGGUAAGGCUAUGACCACGGCAAUGUUAGCAUCAGUGGCCACAAGUUCCAUCAAAGGUAUCUUGUGAUUCACCCAAAAGCAUGGCAUUCUUUGGAGCAGUAUCCACCAAAUCCAUUCAAAACACAACUCCAACAACAUCUGGUGGAAGGUGACCCUGAUUGAAGGGUACAGUUUUGUGAGUGGGUGUCAGCAUAACAUGCCAUUAAUCAUGAUAUUGCUUACAACAUACUCUUUAGUGAUAUGGAGAAUUUAUAUGUCAAUGGACAAGUUAACAAGCACAACCAUUGAUACUAGUCACCAGACAACCCAAGUUGGAAGUCUCCCUCCAGGGCACAAUGAUGUGCAAAGUUCUGCUAUAGUGCGGCACUUCGGGAAUGUGUCUCAUUGGCCCUGUCUUUCUGAUGGAAAUCCCCAAUGCUCUGAACUAUCUGCAGAUGCUGGAUGAGGUUCUCAAUGAAGAUGGGGCAUUUCCUUCAUACUUUCAGCAGAACGGGGCACCAUCCCAUUGUAGUGCCUGUGCACAGGAAUGGCUUGACACGCAUUUCCCCAGAUGUUGCAUUGGGCAUCGUGGUCCCAUGGACCUCAUUCACCUGAUCUAACCCCCCUAAAUUUCUAAUUGUGGGGCUAUCUGAAGUCCAUGGUGUAUUCCGUAAAGAUUCGUGAUGUGCAGCAACUGGAACUGCAGAUUACUGAGGCCUGUGAUAGUGUCACACCUGCCGUGUUGCAUCAUGUCCAUGUAAACUUUCUCCAUCAGACACAAAAAUGUCUUCAGGUACACAGACAGCAUGUGGAACACAUUCUGUAAAGUGCACCUUGUUUUGUAAUGUGUU